rnacentral:rRNA from 1 species
GACGAACGCUGGCGGCGUGCUUAACACAUGCAAGUCGAACGAAAAGGCCCUGCUUUUGUGGGGUGCUCGAGUGGCGAACGGGUGAGUAACACGUGAGUAACCUGCCCUUGACUUUGGGAUAACUUCAGGAAACUGGGGCUAAUACCGGAUAGGAGCUCCUGCUGCAUGGUGGUGGUUGGAAAGUUUCGGCGGUUGGGGAUGGACUCGCGGCUUAUCAGCUUGUUGGUGGGGUAGUGGCUUACCAAGGCUUUGACGGGUAGCCGGCCUGAGAGCGUGAACGGCCACAAUGGGACUGCGAUACGGCCCAGAAUCCUACGGGAGGCAGCAGUGGGGAAUAUUGCACAAUGGGCGGAAGCCUGAUGCAGCAACGCCGCGUGCGGGAUGACGGCCUUCGGGUUGUAAACCGAUUUCGCCUGUGACGAAGCGUGAGUGACGGUAAUGGGUAAAGAAGCCCCGGCUAACUACGUG